rnacentral:SRP_RNA from 1 species
GGAUGGGACCGGCGCGGCGGAAUCCUUCGAACCCCGUCAGGUCCGAGAGGAAGCAGCGGUAAGGAGGUUAUUCUGGGCGCCGCCGGGAAGCCUGUUCGGG